rnacentral:lncRNA from 1 species
UUUUUUUUUUUUUUGUUUUGUUUUUAUUAUCAUUCAUUUUUUUUUUUUCAGCGUUAUGCUAUAACAAUAUGUUAUUUCAUUAUAAUUUAUACGUGGUUUUUAAUAAAUUAUAUAUUGCUGCUGUUCUAAAACUAAUAUACCGCAGAUCGGCGAGUACUGGCAUAUUUUUGAAUUUUUAUUACUACGCGUUAUCCCGACUUUUAUUUCGUUAAUAUUAUACAGAAUAAUUCCGUUAAAACGUUGAGCAUUUUUUUUUUUUUUUUUCUAUAAAGGCAUAGUAAUGUACAUGGUGCUGUAAUGCUGUAUACAUAGUUGUUUGUCUGACUACACUUAGGCGUAAUUGCAUGUAACCAAUAUACGCAGUAUCGCGUGAAUGUAAAUUUUGGUCGAUAUUAACAGAUUAAUACUUCAAUACUCAUUAUAUGCAUGCAAUUUGUUUAGAUUCUGAAAGGUGCGAGAAAUGUAUUGGUUUUACAAUGGUGUUAACUUUUUUUCCUGUAAAAAAAACUAUUCUACCAGCAAUUUAUCUCCGAUUUUCAAUUAUAGCAAUUUUUCUGAAAGAAAAUCUGACUGGGAUGGUAUUUUAAGGAGGUCAAAGAUGAGGAAAAUCGGAAAAAUAAACGUAAGAAUAACGAGAAAAUGUACGAAAUAUUCUAUUUUUAAAUCAUAAAUAUUACGGCCUUUUAUAACAUGUAUAACAGAACUCCACCCAUAAUCAUAUUCAAAGAUUAAUCGUUGAGUUCAAAUAAACAUCAACUUCCUCUCUAUAUUCUUCCGUUCCAACUUUUCACCUACAACAUUGACUCACUCAUCAUGCGAAGUAUAUCCACAAAUUCCAUUUUUUUUAAUCGUACUUAAUUUCGUUUAGAUUUUUGACGUACUACAAAUAUAUUGCUUUUACUAUAUUUAUAUUGUGCACUCAUGUUUUAUGUUUAUGAACAGCGUUUCCAACAGAAAUCUUACUUCUAUUUUCGAAUGUACCAAAUAGUAUAUUUUCGAUUGCAAACGGGUCUCAUCUGUGGCCUGAUGGAUUACAAAGUUAAAGCAACAAAAUGUAUCUAAACUAAAAUUAAAUCUAUUUUAUCAAUUUAUGGAAUUUUUAUUACAAGUUGCUAUUUUGGAUAAAAUUGAACACCCCCCCCCCCCCAAAAAAAAAAAAAACAAAAAUGUAACAUGUUUUAUUAUAUCAUUAUUAUUAUUAUAUGUAUAAAUAAAAUUACGUAUAAACGAAAAUUGUUUCUUAAAUUCCCUAAUAAAAUUAAAAAAAAAACACUUUCCGAGAUAAUAAGUGUCUUGCGUCAUGUUAAUCACACUAUAAAAUUUAUAAAUUAUAUAAAUUAUAUGAUAUGUAACGACAAUAUGUAAUCGGCAGUUCUUAUUUAUGACUCGUUAUCAUAUCAUGAUAGUUUACUAUCUUUCCCGGGAGAGUCCUAAUUCUGUUACCGAAUAUGGAUAUUUAUUAGUGUAACAUCUUCGAGCCUGGAUCAAAUUUAUCGUUUAAUUUACAUAAUUAAAAUAUCAGGUUAUCUGGAUAAUAAUCCAAGUGUUCCUUCGUAGGUUUGAAAUUAAAGAAACGUAUCAAUAAAAAAAACAUAUUUCUUAACGUAUACCUAUUAACUAAUUUUUAUUUUUUUGUAACCUAAAAUGGUAAAAGAAAAAAGAGCACGUAUUCUAAAAGUAUUUUGUGAUUUUUUGUGCGUAUUCACUUCAUUUUUAUUAUUAUUUUUUUUUUUAAUAGUUAAUGAAAC